AGUGAACGCUGGCGGUAGGCCUAACACAUGCAAGUCGAACGGCAGCACAGUAAGAGCUUGCUCUUACGGGUGGCGAGUGGCGGACGGGUGAGGAAUACAUCGGAAUCUACUUUUUCGUGGGGGAUAACGUAGGGAAACUUACGCUAAUACCGCAUACGACCUACGGGUGAAAGCAGGGGAUCUUCGGACCUUGCGCGAGUGAAUGAGCCGAUGUCGGAUUAGCUGGUUGGCGGGGUAAAGGCCCACCAAGGCGACGAUCCGUAGCUGGUCUGAGAGGAUGAUCAGCCACACUGGAACGGAGACACGGACCAGACUCCUGCGAGGGGCAGCAGUGGGGAAUAUUGCACAAUGGGCGCAAGCCUGAUCCAGCCAUACCGCGUGAGUGAAGAAGGCCUUCGGGUUGUAGAGCCCUUUUGUUGGGUAAGAAAAGCAGCAGGUUAAUACCCCGCUGUUCUGACGGUACCCAAAGAAUAAGCACCGGCUAACUUCGUG
rnacentral:rRNA from 1 species